GGGGAUGACGUCAAGUCCUCAUGGCCCUUAUAGGUGGGGCUACACACGUCAUACAAUGGAUGGUACAAAGGGUCGCCAACCCGCGAGGGGGAAGCCCAAAUCCCAUAAAGCCAUUCGUAGUCCGGAUCGCAGUCUGUAACUCGACUGCGUGAAGUCGGAAUCGCUAGUAAUCGUGGAUCAGAAUGUCACGGUGAAUACCGGUUCCCGGGUCUU
rnacentral:rRNA from 1 species